rnacentral:rRNA from 1 species
GCAAGUCUGGUGCCAGCAGCCGCGGUAAUUCCAGCUCCAAUAGCGUAUAUUAAAGUUGUUGCAGUUAGAAAGCUCGUAGUUGAACCUUGGGCCUGGCUGACCGGUCCGCCUCACCGCGUGCACUGGUUCGGCCGGGCCUUUCCUUCUGGGGAGCCGCAUGCCCUUCACUGGGUGUGUCGGGGAACCAGGACUUUUACUUUGAAAAAAUUAGAGUGUUCAAAGCAGGCCUAUGCUCGAAUACAUUAGCAUGGAAUAAUAGAAUAGGACGUGUGGUUCUAUUUUGUUGGUUUCUAGGACCGCCGUAAUGAUUAAUAGGGAUAGUCGGGGGCAUCAGUAUUCAAUUGUCAGAGGUGAAAUUCUUGGAUUUAUUGAAGACUAACUACUGCGAAAGCAUUUGCCAAGGAUGUUUUCAUUAAUCAGUGAACGAAAGUUAGGGGAUCGAAGACGAUCAGAUACCGUCGUAGUCUUAACCAUAAACUAUGCCGACUAGGGAUCGGGCGAUGUUAUCUUUUUGACUCGCUCGGCACCUCACGAGAAAUCAAAGUUUUUGGGUUCUGGGGGGAGUAUGGUCGCAAGGCUGAAACUUAAAGGAAUUGACGGAAG